rnacentral:rRNA from 1 species
AUCGAACGCUGGCGGCAGGCCUAACACAUGCAAGUCGAGCGAGAGGCGGACGGGUGAGUAAUGUAUGGGGACUGCCCGAUAGAGGGGGCUAACUACUGGAAACGGUGGCUACUACCGCAUACUAUCGGAUAACCCAUAUUGGAUUAGAUAGUAGGUGGGGUAAAGGCUCACCUAGGCGACGAUCGCUAGCUGGUCUGAGCGGAUGAUCAGCCACACUGGGACUGAGACACGGCCCAGACUCCUACGGAGGCAGCAGUGGGGAAUAUUGCGCAAUGGGCGCAAGCCUGAUGAAGCAAUGCCGCGUGUAUGAAGAAGGCCUUAGGGUUGUAAAAUACUUUCAGCGGGGAGGCGUUACCCGCAGAAGAAGCACCGGCUAACUACGUGCCAGCCGCCGCGGUAAUAC